rnacentral:lncRNA from 1 species
AUUAUAUAUGGGCCUGCAUACAGUGGAAGAGAAAGAGUAUAUUCCAAUGCAUCCCUGCUGAUCCAGAAUGUCACGCAGGAGGAUGCAGGAUCCUACACCUUACACAUCAUAAAGCGACGCGAUGGGACUGGAGGAGUAACUGGACAUUUCACCUUCACCUUACACCACCCUGCAGACACUCGCUGCAGAGGAAGGACAGUCUGAUGGGGGGACUCAGCAGGAGGAGAUCAGUCUCAGACAAGCACCUCAUGCCCUCUUCAUAAAUUUGACGCUGACAAAGACCCUGGAGAACUGAGUAGGGCUGGCCUGAGGGGCCCCCUGAGAUACUCUCAGAGCAGCUCAGCCCUAGAAGCCUCAACCCCAGACCUCUGUCCCUAAAUCCUUGCUCCAGAUAAAGCUGAGGAGCCUGUGCCAGUGCUGGGUUGUUCCUUCUUGGGCAGGCCUUACUGGGACCAAGAAUUUACCAGCUGUCAGAGGACUGUGUCUCCUGGAGCUGUUCACCAGCCAGGGCUCAGCCCUCAGAGCCUCAUCUGGGCAAGGACAGAGCUUUCUUCACCUGACACUCAGAGUGGAGAGGAUAGAAAGACAAGCUUUGUAGGACAUCGGCUUAGGAGAGUCCAUAGAAAGUCUAAUGUCCCCAGAAGCAGAAACAGAAGGAGAAGAUGUACCUGGUAGCAGAUUGUCCACAGGGAUCUGAUGUAAAGGUGUUUUCUCAUGGAAGCAAAUUAAUAAUAAAUGCUGUUU